CCUACGGGAGGCAGCAGUAGGGAAUAUUGCUCAAUGGGGGAAACCCUGAAGCAGCAACGCCGCGUGGAGGAUGAAGGUUUUCGGAUUGUAAACUCCUUUUGUUAGAGAAGAUAAUGACGGUAUCUAACGAAUAAGCACCGGCUAACUCCGUGCCAGCAGCCGCGGUAAUACGGAGGGUGCAAGCGUUACUCGGAAUCACUGGGCGUAAAGAGCGCGUAGGCGGGAUAGCAAGUCAGAUGUGAAAUCCUAGGGCUUAACCAUAGAACUGCAUUUGAAACUGUUAUUCUAGAGUAUGGGAGUGGUAGGUGGAAUUCUUGGUGUAGGGGUAAAAUCCGUAGAGAUCAAGAGGAAUACUCAUUGCGAAGGCGACCUGCUAGAACAUAACUGACGCUGAUGCGCGAAAGCGUGGGGAGCAAACAGGAUUAGAUACCCUUGUAGUC
rnacentral:rRNA from 1 species